AAGAAAAGCAGAGCCUGAAUGAAACAAAGUUUUAGUGUCAACUUAAGCUUUGCUAUCUCUGUUAUCUCUACAUCACUUCCUGCCCCUCCUUCUGAUCCACAAAACACAGCAGAGACUCAGGCUGGUUCUUCACAUUCAACAUGAUGCCAUCUCAACUCAUCGUUUCCAUCAUCACUUUGUUCUGGGUUAGAGGAGUUUAUCUCAGUAAAGAAAAACAAGUAUUUCAGACUCCAACUGAGCUGUUGGUGAAACCAAAAGAUGGAGUCAACUUGAGCCUCACACAUAAAAUCCCAAACUAUGACACUGUUCUCUGGUAUCAGCGCUCACCAGGAAACACUUCCCUAAAGCUCAUCGGCUACAUGUCUUAUAAAAAUCCUAAGGUUGAGUCAGAAUUUCAAAUUCACUUCAAUGUGAGUGGAGACGGAGAGAAAACAGCUUAUCUUCACAUCCUGAACCCGAGACACCCUGAAGAAAGUGGAGAAUAUUUUGGAGCAGCACGUAUAUACACAGUAAUAAAGACAGUGACUCUCUCAUACAAAAACCUCCACAAUGAUCCAGCAGAGAACAGCACACCAACAGGAAACCACUGGAACCACCUCACAGUAUCAACUGGUUCAUUAGAAUCUAUUUAUUUGUUCCUUUUAGCAUUGCACUAAAGUGAAGUUGACAUUAAAAGUAUUAAAAGACAAUAAUAAAGAUCAAGAUAAGAUACAUUUACAAUUCAUUUUACAGGCUUUGAUUACAUUAUAUUUUGUAAUGAUGCCAACAAAGUCACAUAUUAAAGGUUGUCUCUGCUUUCCUCUCUCCUCUGUGCAGAUAAAGUCAAAAAGAUAUAUUGAGUCAUUUCAAAGUCAUGGGUGAUGAAGUUCACUGCAUUGCAACAUGAACUUACAAGACAAUUUCAGAACCAGAACCAAAAGACAAACUUUUGCUAUUUAAGCUCACAGGAACAUUUCAUUUCUUUUUUUAUGUUUUCUUCUGCCAGUUGCAAGGAAAAAAGUUACACAUUUGCCUUUCAGUUCUGCUCAGUUUUGUGUUCACAUUAGGGCUGUGACUAACAAUGACUUUUAUUAUUAAUUUAUCAAGACAUUGUUUUGCUCCAUUAAUCCUUUGGUCUAAUAAAAUAUUCAACUAUGAACCAAAACCCAAAUGUAUUCAAUUUACUAAUACAAGAAAAUCCACGAAACUAAAAAUAUAACAAAUUAUGAAUUGAUUAUCAAAAGAGUUGCUGGUUCAUUUCUGUCGAUCAACUAAUACAUUUAUCAGCAAAUCAUUUGAGCUCUGGUUUAGACCAACUUAAUUCAAAUGGUUUUGAAUUGGAACCUGAACAGGCCCCUCCCAGCAAGCUGCUCUUGAUGUGAUGCCAUUAUCUCUGCCAGGCAAUAUACAGUGGUACGGUUUCAUUUUCACUUCCACUUUAAACCUUCGGUCAGCUCAGGAGAGGCGUCAGUUGGAUCUCCGACACUAACAGAACCACAGUCAUUAUGAUCUGAUAUCAGAUCGCAGCAACUUACAUCUGCAAAGCUCUGUCAUAUGAAGUCUGAUAUGUCAUGUAAAGGUUUGGAGUAAUUGUUUUAUUUUGAGGAAGAUAAAAUGAUUUGCUUUCUUCUCUUCUGUUGUCUGGCAGGUAAACACUUUUUCAAAUAGAAUCAGCUCAUAUGUAGGUAGAAACAUGAUUGUCCUUCAUAAACUAUCACAAUGUAACUAAGUUUGUUCUGUAUGUUUGUCUUUUGUCCAGGUUGUUGUCUGGGGCUUGAAGUCCGUCAGUCUACCUCUGAUCUCAUCAAGCAACCUGGUGACAAAGUGCAGAUUUUCUGCAGCCAUGAUAAAACUGACUACAGGGUGAUGCUCUGGUACCAGCGGUCACCUGAAGACACAGCUAUGAAACUCAUCGGAUAUUUGUACUAUAAAGAUGCCAAAAUGGAAGAGAAAUAUGAAGUCGAUUUUAAUAUCACUGGAGAUUUAGGGGGGAUACAGCAAAGAAUGGCUCUCUUAUAGUCAAACGUGUAGGACCAAAUCACAGUGCAGUGUACUACUGUGCAGCUAGCAAAGCACACUGACAGAAAUCCCCUCUGAGCUUUACAAAAACUCUUCACCAUCUUUUAUCAUGGUUUCAAAUAAUACGUGGAAUAUACUCCUCACAGACACCUGCUUUUGUGGUUGCAUUUUGGUUUGAUUCAGUUGUGUCAUUAUUAGCUAAUACAAGCUGGUUUCUAUUCUAUUGGUUUACUCUUAUUUAAACUAGACAAGACUAAAACAUAAUGAAAAAGCAAAAAGGAAGAGCCUCGAUAAUUAUCAGUUUUAUAUGCAACUACAUGAAGCCACUCCUCCUUUCUACAUCAUGAUGGCUUCCUUCUUAAAUGUGACUGAGUUUAGGGAGAAAGCACAAACAACAGAGACCCUGUCGUCACUUAACCAAUACUACAUUUCAUCC
ensembl:lncRNA